AUACGGAGGGUGCAAGCGUUAAUCGGAAUUACUGGGCGUAAAGCGCGCGUAGGCGGUUAUUUAAGUCAGAUGUGAAAUCCCUGGGCUCAACCUAGGAACUGCAUCUGAUACUGGGUAACUAGAGUUUUGGAGAGGUAAGUGGAAUUUCCGGUGUAGCGGUGAAAUGCAUAGAGAUCGGAAGGAACACCAGUGGCGAAGGCGACUUACUGGCCAAAAACUGACGCUGAGGUGCGAAAGCGUGGGUAGCGAACAGGAUUAGAUACCCUAGUAGUCC
rnacentral:rRNA from 1 species